rnacentral:rRNA from 1 species
CUGUGUGUUGUUGGGUAGGGGAGCGUUCUGUAAGCCUGCGAAGGUGGCCUGUGAGGGUUGCUGGAGGUAUCAGAAGUGCGAAUGCUGACAUAAGUAACGAUAAAGCGGGUGAAAAGCCCGCUCGCCGGAAGACCAAGGGUUCCUGUCCAACGUUAAUCGGGGCAGGGUGAGUCGACCCCUAAGGCGAGGCCGAAAGGCGUAGUCGAUGGGAAACGGGUUAAUAUUCCCGUACUUGGUGUUACUGCGAAGGGGGGACGGAGAAGGCUAUGUUGGCCGGGCGACGGUUGUCCCGGUUUAAGCGUGUAGGUGUGUGUUCCAGGUAAAUCCGGUUCACUUUAACACUGAGGCGUGACGACGAGGCACUACGGUGCUGAAGCAACAAAUGCCCUGCUUCCAGGAAAAGCCUCUAAGCAUCAGGUAACAUCAAAUCGUACCCCAAACCGACACAGGUGGUCAGGUAGAGAAUACCAAGGCGCUUGAGAGAACUCGGGUGAAGGAACUAGGCAAAAUGGUGCCGUAACUUCGGGAGAAGGCACGCUGACACGUAGGUGAAGUGAUUUACUCAUGGAGCUGAAGUCAGUCGAAGAUACCAGCUGGCUGCAACUGUUUAUUAAAAACACAGCACUGUGCAAACACGAAAGUGGACGUAUACGGUGUGACGCCUGCCCGGUGCCGGAAGGUUAAUUGAUGGGGUCAGCGCAAGCGAAGCUCCUGAUCGAAGCCCCGGUAAACGGCGGCCGUAACUAUAACGGUCCUAAGGUAGCGAAAUUCCUUGUCGGGUAAGUUCCGACCUGCACGAAUGGCGUAAUGAUGGCCAGGCUGUCUCCACCCGAGACUCAGUGAAAUUGAACUCGCUGUGAAGAUGCAGUGUACCCGCGGCAAGACGGAAAGACCCCGUGAACCUUUACUAUAGCUUGACACUGAACAUUGAGCCUUGAUGUGUAGGAUAGGUGGGAGGCUUUGAAGUGUGGACGCCAGUCUGCAUGGAGCCGACCUUGAAAUACCACCCUUUAAUGUUUGAUGUUCUAACGUGGACCCGUUACCCGGGUUGCGGACAGUGUCUGGUGGGUAGUUUGACUGGGGCGGUCUCCUCCUAAAGAGUAACGGAGGAGCACGAAGGUUGGCUAAUCCUGGUCGGACAUCAGGAGGUUAGUGCAAUGGCAUAAGCCAGCUUGACUGCGAGCGUGACGGCGCGAGCAGGUGCGAAAGCAGGUCAUAGUGAUCCGGUGGUUCUGAAUGGAAGGGCCAUCGCUCAACGGAUAAAAGGUACUCCGGGGAUAACAGGCUGAUACCGCCCAAGAGUUCAUAUCGACGGCGGUGUUUGGCACCUCGAUGUCGGCUCAUCACAUCCUGGGGCUGAAGUAGGUCCCAAGGGUAUGGCUGUUCGCCAUUUAAAGUGGUACGCGAGCUGGGUUUAGAACGUCGUGAGACAGUUCGGUCCCUAUCUGCCGUGGGCGCUGGAGAACUGAGGGGGGCUGCUCCUAGUACGAGAGGACCGGAGUGGACGCAUCACUGGUGUUCGGGUUGUCAUGCCAAUGGCACUGCCCGGUAGCUAAAUGCGGAAGAGAUAAGUGCUGAAAGCAUCUAAGCACGAAACUUGCCCCGAGAUGAGUUCUCCCUGAGACUUAAAGUCUCCUGAAGGAACGUUGAAGACGACGACGUUGAUAGGCCGGGUGUGUAAGCGCAGCGAUGCGUUGAGCUAACCGGUACUAAUGAACCGUGAGGCUU